UUCCAACGGGACGCAGCAGUGGGGGAUAUUGCACAAUGGGGGGAACCCUGAUGCAGCGACGCCGCGUGGGUGAAGAAGCGCCGCGGCGCGUAAAGCCCUGUCAGCAGGGGAGAAGAAGGACGGUACCUGACCAAGAGACCCCGGCUAACUACGUGCCAGCAGCCGCGGUAAUACGUAGGGGGGACGCGUUAUCCGGAUUUACUGGGUGUAAAGGGGGCGCAGACGGGGCU
rnacentral:rRNA from 1 species